rnacentral:rRNA from 1 species
UGGGGGAUAUUGCACAAUGGGGGAAACCCUGAUGCAGCAACGCCGCGUGAGGGAAGACGGUUUUCGGAUUGUAAACCUCUGUCAUCGGUGACGAUAAUGACGGUAGCCGAUGAGGAAGCUCCGGCUAACUACGUGCCAGCAGCCGCGGUAAUACGUAGGGAGCGAGCGUUGUCCGGAAUUACUGGGUGUAAAGGGUGCGUAGGCGGGAAAGCAAGUCAGGCGUGAAAUCUAUCGGCUUAACCGGUAGCUUGCGUUUGAAACUGUUAUUCUUGAGUGAAGUAGAGGUAAGCGGAAUUCCCGGUGUAGCGGUGAAAUGCGUAGAGAUCGGGAGGAACACCAGUGGCGAAGGCGGCUUACUGGACGGUAACUGACGUUGAGGCUCGAAAGCGUGGGGAGCAAACAGGAUUAGAUACCCUGGUAGU